rnacentral:rRNA from 1 species
UACGUAGGGGGCAAGCGUUGUCCGGAUUUAUUGGGCGUAAAGAGCGUGUAGGCGGCCAGACAGGUCCGUUGUGAAAACUGGAGGCUCAACCUCCAGACGUCGAUGGAAACCGUCUGGCUAGAGUCCGGAAGAGGAGAGUGGAAUUCCGUGGUGUAGCGGUGAAAUGCGCAGAUAUCAGGAAGAACACCCGUGGCGAAGGCGGUUCUCUGGGACGGUACUGACGCUGAGACGCGAAAGCGUGGGGAGCGAACAGG